rnacentral:rRNA from 1 species
AUACGGAGGGUGCAAGCGUUAUCCGGAAUUAUUGGGUUUAAAGGGUGCGUAGGCGGAACUUUAAGUCAGUGGUGAAAUCCCGUAGCUCAACUACGGCACUGCCAUUGAAACUAUCGUUCUUGAGUAUGAUUGAAGUGGGCGGAAUGUGUCAAGUAGCGGUGAAAUGCUUAGAUAUGACACAGAACACCAAUUGCGAAGGCAGCUCACUAAGUCACAACUGACGCUGAGGCACGAAAGCGUGGGGAGCGAACAGGAUUAGAAACCCCAGUAGUCC